rnacentral:rRNA from 1 species
GAUGAACGCUGGCGGCGUGCCUAAUACAUGCAAGUCGAGCGAACGGACGAGAAGCUUGCUUCUCUGAUGUUAGCGGCGGACGGGUGAGUAACACGUGGAUAACCUACCUAUAAGACUGGGAUAACUUCGGGAAACCGGAGCUAAUACCGGAUAAUAUUUUGAACCGCAUGGUUCAAAAGUGAAAGACGGUCUUGCUGUCACUUAUAGAUGGAUCCGCGCUGCAUUAGCUAGUUGGUAAGGUAACGGCUUACCAAGGCAACGAUGCAUAGCCGACCUGAGAGGGUGAUCGGCCACACUGGAACUGAGACACGGUCCGGACUCCUACGGGAGGCAGCAGUAGGGAAUCUUCCGCAAUGGGCGAAAGCCUGACGGAGCAACGCCGCGUGAGUGAUGAAGGUCUUCGGAUCGUAAAACUCUGUUAUUAGGGAAGAACAUAUGUGUAAGUAACUGUGCACAUCUUGACGGUACCUAAUCAGAAAGCCACGGCUAACUACGUGCCAGCAGCCGCGGUAAUACGUAGGUGGCAAGCGUUAUCCGGAAUUAUUGGGCGUAAAGCGCGCGUAGGCGGUUUUUUAAGUCUGAUGUGAAAGCCCACGGCUCAACCGUGGAGGGUCAUUGGAAACUGGAAAACUUGAGUGCAGAAGAGGAAAGUGGAAUUCCAUGUGUAGCGGUGAAAUGCGCAGAGAUAUGGAGGAACACCAGUGGCGAAGGCGACUUUCUGGUCUGUAACUGACGCUGAUGUGCGAAAGCGUGGGGAUCAAACAGGAUUAGAUACCCUGGUAGUCCACGCCGUAAACGAUGAGUGCUAAGUGUUAGGGGGUUUCCGCCCCUUAGUGCUGCAGCUAACGCAUUAAGCACUCCGCCUGGGGAGUACGACCGCAAGGUUGAAACUCAAAGGAAUUGACGGGGACCCGCACAAGCGGUGGAGCAUGUGGUUUAAUUCGAAGCAACGCGAAGAACCUUACCAAAUCUUGACAUCCUUUGACAACUCUAGAGAUAGAGCCUUCCCCUUCGGGGGACAAAGUGACAGGUGGUGCAUGGUUGUCGUCAGCUCGUGUCGUGAGAUGUUGGGUUAAGUCCCGCAACGAGCGCAACCCUUAAGCUUAGUUGCCAUCAUUAAGUUGGGCACUCUAAGUUAACUGCCGGUGACAAACCGGAGGAAGGUGGGGAUGACGUCAAGUCAUCAUGCCCCUUAUGAUUUGGGCUACACACGUGCUACAAUGGACAAUACAAAGGGCAGCGAAACCGCGAGGUCAAGCAAAUCCCAUAAAGUUGUUCUCAGUUCGGAUUGUAGUCUGCAACUCGACUACAUGAAGCUGGAAUCGCUAGUAAUCGUAGAUCAGCAUGCUACGGUGAAUACGUUCCCGGGUCU